rnacentral:rRNA from 1 species
GACGAACCGUGCGAACGUUGUUCGGAAUCACUGGGCUUAAAGGGCGCGUAGGCGGGCAAUCAAGUCUGAGGUGAAAUCCUCCAGCUUAACUGGAGAAGUGCCCCGGAUACCGGUUGCCUCGAGGAUGGUAGGGGCAUCUGGAACUAGCGGUGGAGCGGUGAAAUGCGUUGAUAUCGCUAGGAACUCCGGUGGCGAAGGCGAGGUGCUGGACCAUUUCUGACGCUGAGGCGCGAAAGCUAGGGGAGCAAACGGG